UACGUAGGGGGCUAGCGUUGUCCGGAAUCAUUGGGCGUAAAGCGCGCGUAGGCGGCCAGAUAAGUCCGGUGUGAAAGCCACAGGCUCAACCUGUGAAUGCCGCUGGAAACUGUCUGGCUAGAGUCCGGGAGGGGCGAGUGGAAUUUCCUAGUGUAGAGGUGAAAUUCGUAGAUAUUAGGAAGAACACCAGUGGCGAAGGCGGCUCACUGGUCCGGUACUGACGCUGAGGUGCGAAAGCGUGGGGAGCAAACAGG
rnacentral:rRNA from 1 species